rnacentral:rRNA from 1 species
CCAUGCUAGUUGCGCGACUUAGAUCGCAGCGGAAAGCUCAGUAACACGUGGCCAAACUACCCUGCAGAGGAGCAUAAUCUCGGGAAACUGAGGCUAAUACUCCAUACCGCACUCACGUUGGAACGACCGAGUGCUCUAAACGCUCCGGCGCUGCAGGAUGUGGCUGCGGCCGAUUAGGUAGACGGUGGGGUAACGGCCCACCGUGCCGAUAAUCGGUACGGGUUGUGAGAGCAAGAGCCCGGAGACGGAAUCUGAGACAAGAUUCCGGGCCCUACGGGGCGCAGCAGGCGCGAAACCUUUACACUGCACGACAGUGCGAUAAGGGGACCCCAAGUGCGAGGGCAUACAGUCCUCGCUUUUGUGUACCGUAAGGUGGUACACGAAUAAGAGCUGGGCAAGACCGGUGCCAGCCGCCGCGGUAAUACCGGCAGCUCAAGUGAUGACCGAUUUUAUUGGGCCUAAAGCGUCCGUAGCUGGCCGCGUAGGUUCGUCGGGAAAUCCAUCCGCUCAACGGAUGGGCGUCCGGCGAAAACCACGUGGCUUGGGACCGGAAGGCUCGAGGGGUACGUCCGGGGUAGGAGUGAAAUCCCGUAAUCCUGGACGGACCGCCGAUGGCGAAAGCACCUCGAGAAGACGGAUCCGACAGUGAGGGACGAAAGCUGGGGUCUCGAACCGGAUUAGAUACCCGGGUAGUCCCAGCCGUAAACAAUGCCUGUUAGGUGUGGCACCGACUACGAGUCGGUGCUGUGCCGUAGGGAAGCCGAUAAACAGGCCGCCUGGGAAGUACGUCCGCAAGGAUGAAACUUAAAGGAAUUGGCGGGGGAGCACUACAACCGGAGGAGCCUGCGGUUUAAUUGGACUCAACGCCGGACAUCUCACCAGCAUCGACUGUAGCAAUGAUCAUCAGGUUGAUGACCUCUAUGUUGAGCUACAGAGAGGAGGUGCAUGGCCGCCGUCAGCUCGUACCGUGAG